rnacentral:misc_RNA from 1 species
GCUUGCCUUUGGCAAUGCGGGGUGUGGUUCGUUUGAUGGCGUCGAGUCUUGCGGACGUGAGGGCGCGUGAGCGGCGAUCGGGAUGUUUGCGCUGUCUGGCUCCUUGCUCAUGGUUUUGGAACUGCCAGCGUGCAACCUUUCUCAUGCACGCCUUGUGCCGGUGGGCCUUGGCGUUCUCCCGCGGUUCCUGUGUUGCCUACCCGUUUGGCGGUAUUCGUGUGCCUCAAGACCCGUUCCUUACAGGCCCCCCCUCGUGGAGGUUUCUGGGGGAUUCGAAUGUGAUGCGUGUUUUGCGGUGGCUGUGCUUUGUAACGGCUCACGUGCCGCAUGUGUCUAUUGUUCCCUUGGAUGCGGUGCAUGCAGUGAACGUGGGCUGGUGUUUGUGCCUCGUUCAGUCCCUAUGAUAUAUCGGUUGCCCUUGGAAGACACUUUGCCGUCGUGCUGGUCUUGCUUUCCCAUUCGUGGCGGCAAGACUUGUGCGUUGAGCAUAGGCGUCAAUGGAUGCUACCUGGUUGAUC